UACGUAGGGCGCAAGCGUUGUCCGGAAUUAUUGGGCGUAAAGAGCUCGUUAGGCGGUUUGUCGCGUCUGGUGUGAAAACUCAAGGCUUAACCUUGAGCUUGCAUCGGGUACGGGCAGACUAGAGUGUGGUAGGGGAGACUGGAAUUCCUGGUGUAGCGGUGAAAUGCGCAGAUAUCAGGAGGAACACCGAUGGCGAAGGCAGGUCUCUGGGCCACUACUGACGCUGAGGAGCGAAAGCAUGGGUAGCGAACAGGACUUAGA
rnacentral:rRNA from 1 species